AUGGCAGGAGGGCAAAAGGAGUGCCUACGCGAGGUACGAGCAGCAGAAGACACCAAGAGAACAUCCCGGUGGCCGUCCGGAAGAGGGCUAGUGAUGAUGGCGCUGGGAGAAGAGCCGAAAGAUGAGGCAGCGAGCCGGCAAUACGAGACGAAGACAUCAGUGACAUCGUACUCCAACUUGAUGGCCCGCCACCCGCCCUCUUCGUCUUCUCCGGCCUUCCCACGCCAGCCGCCCAAGGAGGCGACCCCAAGAAAUUCAAGGAGCUGGCCCCGCCCCCGGCAAUUUGCUCUGCCGGCGGAAAGACCAGGUGCAUAUGAUGGUGCUGUCGGCGUUGCCCGAGGACGAUAUGUCCGAUGCCUAGUCGGACCCGUCCUGGUCGUCUUCCCCACCGGUGUCCUCCUCGCCACUAUCACUCGAGGAGGAGCUUUCAUCGUCGGUCGAGCUCUCCGCGCAGCACCCUAA
rnacentral:rRNA from 1 species